rnacentral:rRNA from 1 species
GAUGAACGCUGGCGGCGUGCCUAACACAUGCAAGUCGAACGGGGUUAAGGAAGCUUGCUUCCUUGACUUAGUGGCGAACGGGUGAGUAACGCGUGAGAAACCUGCCUCUCAGUGGGGGACAACAGUUGGAAACGACUGCUAAUACCGCAUAAUGUAUUCGGAAGGCAUCUUCUGAAUACCAAAGCUUUAUGUGCUGAGAGAUGGUCUCGCGUCUGAUUAGCUAGAUGGCGGGGUAACGGCCCACCAUGGCGACGAUCAGUAGCCGGUCUGAGAGGAUGAACGGCCACAUUGGGACUGAGAUACGGCCCAGACUCCUACGGGAGGCAGCAGUGGGGAAUAUUGGGCAAUGGGGGAAACCCUGACCCAGCAACGCCGCGUGAAGGAAGAAGGCUUUCGGGUUGUAAACGUUCUUUUACCAGGGACGAAGAACGUGACGGUACCUGGAGAAAAGCAACGGCUAACUACGUG